CAAAACUAUAUGUGUAUAUAUAUAUAUAUAUGAGAAGUAUAAUAAUACAUACUAGUAUUUAUAAUCUGAGAAAUUAAAGGGACACUAUAGGCACCCAAACCACUUCAGAAUUCUGUUUUUAAUUAACUGCAAUAAUUACAUUUGAGGGUUAACUCAACCUCUAGUGGCUGCCUACCAAAGGGACAUGCAGGUCAUUAGACAACCUUUGGUCACCUUACUGAUGCUGAAUGUCCUCACGCUGUAUAUGACAUCCAGUGUCACUCUAAACUCCAUAGGAAAGCAUUAUAC